UUAGUACUCCCUCCGUUUCAAAAUUCUUGUCUUAGUUUUGUUUAGAAAUGGAUGUAUCUAAAUACUAAAACAUGACUAGGUACAUUCAUAUCUAGACACAUCUAUGACAAAAACUUUGGGACGAAGAAAGUACCAA
rfam:Hordeum vulgare subsp. vulgare, WGS project CAJW01000000 data, contig: morex_contig_277478